UGCCUCAGUAUAAAUUCAUCCUUAUGGUAAAACUGCGAAUGGCUCAUUAAAUCAGUAAUUGUCUAUUUGGUGGAUACAAAACAACAGAAUUCCGAUUAAGAAUUCUCUUUUUUUUUCUCUUUCUCUUUGGCUCUCUUUUUUUUAUUCAUUUUCUUUUUUCAAUCUUUUUUUUCUCUUUUUUUUUCAGACAUUUUUUAUUCACCCCUUUUUUUCAAAUUUAUUUUUUCAAUCAACCCUUGCUUUAUAAAAUUUUUCCCACUUUAUAAAAUACUUUUUCUCAUCGAGAAAAAUCCAUUUUAUAAAUCCGAAAAAUCCAAAGCCUGGAUUACAACAAAAAAUAAAUGCGAAAGAAACCGCAAUAAAAAAUUCAAAAAAAAAAAAAAAGGAAAAAAACCUUCGAAAAGGAAAAUACACAAUAAAAAAAAACCAGAUCAAAAGAAAAGGAAAAAAAAAAACGUUUUUUAAUUGGAUAACCCUGUUAACAUAGAGCUAAUACAUGCGAGACAGCCUGCUCGACGCGGGGGAGAAAAAGGGUUUACUCUUCUUCUCCCUCUGUUGAAAUGGCUGUACUUGUCAAGCUCUCCCAAGCCAAUGUUUGGGGAGCAAGGGGUUUUCGGACCCCUUUGCCCUCCAUACCCACAUUUGGCUGAGAUAUGACAAUUCAACGGAUCGCAAAGCCAGGCGAGCAGGAGGAGAAAAAGGGAACCCCACUCGUGGGGGCUUUCUUCUUUUCUUUCUGCUCGCCAACAAAGCGCUGGCGACGUUCCAUUUGAAUUUCUGCCCUAUCAACUAGAUGGUAGGAUAGAGGCCUACCAUGGUGAUAACGGGUAACGGGGAAUUAGGGUYUGAUUCCGGAGAGGGAGCUUGAGAAAUGGCUACCACUUCUAAGGAAGGCAGCAGGCGCGCAAAUUACCCAAUUCUAACACAGAGAGGUAGUGACAACAAAUAACAAUGCCGGGCCCAUUCAAAACGGUCUGGCGAUUGGAAUGAGUACAACUCAAACCACUUAACAAGUAACAAUUGGAGGGAAAGUCUGGUGCCAGCAGCCGCGGUAAUUCCAGCUCCAUUAGUGUAUAUUAAAGCUGUUGCGAUUAAAAAGCUCGUAGUUGGAACUAAACGAUAAUUGUCGUGGUUUCACUUCACCGUGGACUGGUGGGAAUUCCUUUUUUUUUCCCCCUCUUUCUCCCAAGGGGUCUCCUUUCUCUCGAGAAGGGUCUCUCCGAAGAGCAAAAAGGAAGAGAAAAAAAAAAGAAAUCAUUCCCGCCAGCUGGUGGGCCCUUUUCACUGUUUCCCAUUUUCCCUCGCCCUUCGGGGCUUGGGGGAAUUCGAAAUGGUUUUGGGGGUUCGCUGGAUCAUACAAUUAUUUGUUGGAAGGCAAAUUUCCUCAUCGAUUUUUGCUUUCCAACAUAAAACCUUCUGAAUCUUUUUUCGAAAAGGUCUCAGAUCGUUUACUUUGAAAAAAUUAAAGUGUUCAAAGCAGGCACACACAAAUUUUUCCCUGCCCUAGUGAAGAAGCGCUCGUCGUUUCCCUCACUCUGGGGCUCCGAAAAAUGCCACUUGAAUACUAUUAGCAUGGGAUAAUGAUAUAGGACUUUAUUGUUCCUUUCAUCAUUGGCUCCGUUUGGAACACAAAACAAUCAAUAAAGUAAUUGAUUAAUAGGGACAGUUGGGGUGAUUCAUAUUUAAUUGUCAGAGGUGAAAUUCUUGGAUUUCUGAAAGAUGAACUUCUGCGAAAGCAUUUCACAAGGAUGUUUUCAUUAAUCAAGAACGAAAGUUGGGGGAUCGAAGACGAUCAGAUACCGUCGUAGUCCUAACCAUAAACUAUACUGACCAGGGAUUGGGUUAAGUUCAUUUUUCCCCAUUGCAUAAUUUCUGCUUUGGGGGAAAAGCGUGGUUUGCGCUCUCCCUUUUUCCUCUCCCUUUCCUUCGGGAACCGCGGGAGGCAUCAGAGAGAUUUACACGCCGCGUUUUUUAGCCCGACUUCCCCAGCACCUUUGAGAGAAAUCAUUGAGUGUCUGAGUUUCGGGGGGAGUAUGGUCACAAGGCUGAAACUUAAAGGAAUUGACGGAAGGGCACACCAGGAGUGGAGCCUGCGGCUUAAUUUGACUCAACACGGGAAAACUCACCAGGUCCAGACAGUAGAAGGAUUGACAGAUUGACAGCUCUUUCUUGAUUUGCUGGGUGGUGGUGCAUGGCCGUUCUUAGUUCGUGGAGUGAUUUGUCUGGUUAAUUCCGUUAACGAACGAGAUCUUAUCCUACUAACUAGCACCAGGAACUUCAAACUGUCCUUGGGGGGGAGGGAAACGGGAGGGGAGGGGGGGGAGCAAUCCUUUCUUUCUCCUUUCGAUUCCUUUUCUUUUCAUUCACAUUUGGUUUCAUUGGUCUUUUGCACCCCGGUGGUUUCUCUCACACUCUCUUUUCCCUUCUUCCCUUUCGGGGGGAGAGGGGGGAGAGGGAGGGGGGGGAGGCUUUUUGGGGUGCAGAAGAAUUGCUUCUUAGGGGGACCAUUCGCUUCCAGCGAAAGGAAGAUUGAGGCAAUAACAGGUCUGUGAUGCCCUUCGAUGUUCUGGGCUGCACGCGCGCUACACUGAUGGACUCAACGAGUUUUUUACAAACGCCCUUCCUUUUUUUUUCCCUUUCCUUCGGGGGAGGGGAAAAGCUUGGGUCAGGCAAACCCUUGGUCGAAAGGCCUGGGAAAACUUCUGAAAGUCCAUCGUGCUGGGGCUAGAUCAUUGUAAUUAUUGAUCUUAAACGAGGAAUUCCUAGUAAGCGCGAGUCAUAAGCUCGCGUUGAUUGCGUCCCUGCCCUUUGUACACACCGCCCGUCGCUCCUACCGAUUGGAUGAUAAGGUGAAGAUUCUGGAUGGCUUCAAAAAAUGCCCCUCUUUUUCUUGGCUUUUGCCAAGGGAAAAAGGAGUCUUUUUGGUCAGAAAUUAUCUAAACCUUAUUAUCUAGAGGAAGGAGAAGUCG
rnacentral:rRNA from 1 species